GCCUUCGUGGUGUGACGGUAACACACUCGAUCAGUAAUCGAGAGGUCCAGGUUUGAGUCCCGGAGAGGGCA
rnacentral:tRNA from 1 species